UGUGGUGUGUGGCACUAGAUACUGACAUCACUACAGGACCUCAACGCCGUGUUCCAGCUGAUUUAAUGGGCUGAAGACGUUGUUGUGUGUCCAUGACAUGGUAGACCAAGAAGCUCUCCUUGGAUCCUUGAAGGAAUGGAUGGAUUAUGCUGCCAUUGCUUAAGCCCUCCGCAUCUUCCCACUGUGACCUGACAUCAGCUUUGACAGCUCUGCGAUAUUCUCCGCCAGAAUCCUUGGCUGCCUGCGACCAAUGAAACAACCAGGAACGGCUCUGAUAAUCCUCUUCAUCUGCAUUGUGGAGCUCAACAGCGUGUGUGGAGGAGUGUCUCCUGUUCCCCCUGUCCUCUCCCUCUCCAGGAGCAUCAAAAGGAGGAGGACCCACGCAGGGUGUUUGAAGAGCCCACCGACACUCCCCUAUGGGUGGUGAACUGGCAGAUGCUCAAACCACGCAACUCUAUCUAGGCGGGAGGAGCAUCCUUCUCAUCUGCUUUUGUAGCCCUGCCAUUGGUUUUCCUUGCAGCCAUGUACCAGACAUUAGUCAACUGUAUUGUCGUUUGUAGAUUUGUAUUUUAACCCAUUACAUUGUGUGAUCAAUUAAUGCAGAGCACCUUUCAGUUUUAAGAGUUAUGACCAUUUGUUGUUGGUUUUGUUUAUUUAUAGUUAAUUGCUGUCCUCUUGUAUUUCAUGGAUUGGCAUGAAACUUUGUUGACAUUCAUAGUCCCCAGAGGAUGAAACCCACUGAGCUCUGGUGACUGUAAAAACCCGUUUUUAUUAGUCAUUGAUUUUUUUCAGCAAAACAAGUUGCAAUGACCCACAGAAGCUAACCAACCUUCAUCAGGGGGAAUAACUCUGUCACUGUCAACGUUAAACACUUGCUAGCCUAAAGCAUAAUUGAGGCUAAAAACAACUAAAUGACUCCAGUUACAAUCGUGCUCGCUCCAUUCAAAAUGAACGUCUAUUGUUUAGUUUUGAAAUAUGAGACAACACACAAAAAGUAAUGUUUAUUCCUAUGGUUUAUAUGGUAUCCUCUAGCAUUGUUUAUUCCAUUUAUUUGGAAUUCAAAAAUGCGUAGGAGCUGUGCCACUGUUAGAGCAAACCCAGCUUUACCACCAGAAGAGAGGAUAAACCACUGUGACUGCUCGU